GACAGAGGUCUCAAGCGUUGUUCGGAUUCAUUGGGCGUAAAGGGUGCGUAGGCGGCGCGGCAAGUCGGGUGUGAAAUCUCGGGGCUUAACUCCGAAACUGCAUUCGAUACUGCCGUGCUUGAGGACUGGAGAGGAGACUGGAAUUUACGGUGUAGCGGUGAAAUGCGUAGAGAUCGUAAGGAAGGCCAGUGGCGAAGGCGAGUCCCUGGACAAUUCCUGACACUGAGGCACGAAAGCUAGGGGAGCAAACAGG
rnacentral:rRNA from 1 species